rnacentral:tRNA from 2 species
ACUUCCGUAGCUCAGUUGGAUAGAGCAUCGCCCUCCGAUGGCGGAGGUCGCGGGUUCGACUCCCGCCGGGAGUGCCA